rnacentral:rRNA from 1 species
GAUGAACGCUAGCUACAGGCUUAACACAUGCAAGUCGAGGGGAAACGAUGAGAGAGCUUGCUCUCUUAGUCGUCGACCGGCGCACGGGUGAGUAACGCGUAUCCAACCUGCCUCUGACCAAGGGAUAACCCGUCGAAAGUCGGACUAAUACCUUAUGCAGUCGUCGGAAGUCAUCUGAUGACGACGAAAGAUUUCAUCGGUGAGAGAUGGGGAUGCGUCUGAUUAGCUUGUUGGCGGGGUAACGGCCCACCAAGGCGACGAUCAGUAGGGGUUCUGAGAGGAAGGUCCCCCACAUUGGAACUGAGACACGGUCCAAACUCCUACGGGAGGCAGCAGUGAGGAAUAUUGAUCAAUGGGCGUAAGCCUGAACCAGCCAAGUAGCGUGCAGGAGGACGGCCCUAUGGGUUGUAAACUGCUUUUAUGCGGGGAUAAAGUGAGGGACGUGUCCUUCAUUGCAGGUACCGCAUGAAUAAGGACCGGCUAAUUCCGUG